rnacentral:rRNA from 1 species
GACCCCAAGUCAAGCGAGAUUACCAGUUGAGUUUAAGUAAAUCAAUAAGCAGAUGAAAAGAAACUUACUAGGAUUCCCUAGUAACGACGAGCGAACCAGGAGGAGUCCAGCUUGAAAAUCGGGAGCCUUCGGCAUCUGA